GACGAACGCUGGCGGCGUGCUUAACACAUGCAAGUCGAGCGGAAAGGCCCUUCGGGGUACUCGAGCGGCGAACGGGUGAGUAACACGUGAGUAACCUGCCUUCAGCUUUGGGAUAACCCUCGGAAACGGGGGCUAAUACCGGGUAUUCACUGUCGACGGCAUCGUUGGUGGUGGAAAGUUUUUCGGCUGGGGAUGGGCUCGCGGCCUAUCAGCUUGUUGGUGGGGUAAUGGCCUACCAAGGCGGCGACGGGUAGCCGGCCUGAGAGGGCGACCGGCCACACUGGGACUGAGACACGGCGCAGACUCCUACGGGAGGCAGCAGUGGGGAAUAUUGCACAAUGGGCGGAAGCCUGAUGCAGCGACGCCGCGUGGGGGAUGACGGCCUUCGGGUUGUAAACCUCUUUCGACCCUGACGAAGCGUGAGUGACGGUAGGGGGAGAAGAAGCACCGGCCAACUACGUGCCAGCCGCCGCCGUAAGAC
rnacentral:rRNA from 1 species